CCGGCAAUCGGACGCGAUACGAGUAUGAGUGAGAUGGAGGUCUGAGGCAAGGGAACGCCAGUGCUUCCAUGAAUGAAGGGUCAACAAUACCACAUUUGAUCUGUAUCAUGCGUUUUUAAUCUAACAGUCCACAAAGAAAGUUUGCAAAUUUGUACUGAAUGAGAGUUUUCACUUGAUACGUCGCCUUGUAGCUAUGUGCUUAUUUUUAUUUUUUUACCGAAGUGCUUAUUUUUAAUUGGUUUGUUUAGUGUAUAUUUUAUCUUGAAAUGUACCCCCACAAGUUUA
rnacentral:lncRNA from 1 species